AGAAAAGUCAGAGGGAAGCCAAAGAGCUUAUAAUCUGAAAGAGAUCUGAGCUACAGAAUGAAAACCUGGACCAGCCAACGGAGCAGACUUCAACCUUCCAACGCUUCCCUUCUAGCCCCCGAACCUUCCCAGCACAGAUCCUGAAGAAUGAGACAGUUGGCGUUGGUCACAGAGGCAGUUGAAAUGAAUAAAACAGCUUUACCCUGGAUUCCUGGAUACCUGUGCAAUGCAUUCCCGGAAGACUCUAGGCUUUCCAGGAGAAUUCAAAAGCUAUUGCUCUCCUCACCCACUGGGUACCAUUAUUUACAAGAA